rnacentral:rRNA from 1 species
AGUGAACGCUGGCGGUAGGCCUAACAUGCACGUCGAACGGCAGCACAGUAAGAGCUUGCUCUUACGGGUGGCGAGUGGCGGACGGGUGAGGAAUACAUCGGAAUCUACUUUUUCGUGGGGGAUAACGUAGGGAAACUUACGCUAAUACCGCAUACGACCUACGGGUGAAAGCAGGGGAUCUUCGGACCUUGCGCGAUUGAAUGAGCCGAUGUCGGAUUAGCUAGUUGGCGGGGUAAAGGCCCACCAAGGCGACGAUCCGUAGCUGGUCUGAGAGGAUGAUCAGCCACACUGGAACUGAGACACGGUCCAGACUCCUACGGGAGGCAGCAGUGGGGAAUAUUGGACAAUGGGCGCAAGCCUGAUCCAGCCAUACCGCGUGGGUGAAGAAGGCCUUCGGGUUGUAAAGCCCUUUUGUUGGGAAAGAAAAGCAGCAGGUUAAUACCCCGCUGUUCUGACGGUACCCAAAGAAUAAGCACCGGCUAACUUCGUG